AAAGAAGUAUAUAAUUUAAUUAAGUCAGCAGGUGGAGUGUUUAAUUUUGAUCAUCUGCUUUUAGAUAGUUCAGAUGUAAAUGAUGUCACCCAAAUGAAGACAUGUUUAGCAAAUGGUGCUAAAAUUGAUUAUUAUGACAAGGUUCUAAUUAAAUCUAUUUUGUGUCUAAAGUGUCAGCAUAGGGUAACAAGCUUGCUUAGUAACACUGUACUCUUAUUGCUCUUGCUGUUUAUUUUGUGAACCGCCCCAAACUUUCUGGAG